rnacentral:rRNA from 1 species
AACGAACGCUGGCGGCAGGCCUAACACAUGCAAGUCGAACGCUGUAGCAAUACAGAGUGGCAGACGGGUGAGUAACGCGUGGGAAUCUACCCAAUGGUACGGAAUAACUCAGGGAAACUUGAGCUAAUACCGUAUGUGCCCGAAAGGGGAAAGAUUUAUCGCCAUUGGAUGAGCCCGCGUCGGAUUAGCUAGUUGGUGGGGUAACGGCCCACCAAGGCGACGAUCCGUAGCUGGUCUGAGAGGAUGACCAGCCACACUGGGACUGAGACACGGCCCAGACUCCUACGGGAGGCAGCAGUGGGGAAUAUUGGACAAUGGGCGCAAGCCUGAUCCAGCCAUGCCGCGUGAGUGAUGAAGGCCCUAGGGUUGUAAAGCUCUUUCGACGGGGACGAUAAUGACGGUACCCGUAGAAGAAGCCCCGGCUGACUUCGUGCCAGCAGCCGCCGUAAGAC